CAGAGUCUGCUGGUACGGUAUGGAUAGGCACUACAUAUGAUGGCAUGAUGAGGAAUGUUAAGACUGCAGAAAUGUGUGUUUUUGGAGACUUCAUCCAUGCACUAUGAUACAGAUAAAUCGUACCAUAGUGAUGGAAGGUUGCGCACCAAUUUACACAACAGUUAUUUUUAAUGAUUCGUGCAAAGUGGCAACAAAAAGCAGAUGGUGCCAAGUAAUAGCAGGGAGUGAAUAACUUUUCGUCGGCUAACGGUCGGUCGGCCGUCUAACCGAUCCAGUGUAUGACUACGUAAAGAACUACAAUUCCCCAGACUAAAGAAGCUCGACACCAUUCAGUCACAGAACUACAAAGAAUACAACAUACGCAUAUUGACGCCAAAAUAAUGUAGAAAUCAGUGAUGGCACCAGGGGCGCUUUGCACAUACCUAGACCCCCAUUGUUCGACACUUAAACAAGGUCUAAUAAGUAGUUAGACGAUUACGGAACUUAGCCUACAAAAAGCAGCCGCAUAAUGGAAGAUUUCUGUUGCGCACGUGCUAUGAACGACUUGCAGCUACGCAAGACUUGUCUCUGUUUUUUGUGCCUAUUUGUUUGUAUUUGUUUGUUUGUACAUGCAAUAAGUGUUUUAUAGCCACUAUUUACUGUUAUUAAUCUAAAAAAUUCUCUAUUUCUUUAUUGCAUACAAUUGGACAGAGUAAAUCCAGUUAUCUGAAUGGACGGUUUCCUGGUGUGUACGAAUAGACACUACAUGUGAUUACAUGAUGUGGAAGAAUAAUGAUAUUCUGCGUUGCGAUGUCAGUUGUGCGCUAUAAUUGAUCUUUAACAGAUAAAUUAUACCAUGAAGAAAAUUUCUCAAGUUGCUCAACAAUCAUUGUUAACGGUGUGCUCAAUAAGUAGAUGGUGCUGCCUUGUCAUCUUUCACAGAGCAGAUACAAACUACCAAACUACAGUAAAUAGACUCCAUUUAGCGAGUUCACAGGAUAUUCCAAGAAUGGUUGUGCACAUACUGCGCGCUGCUUGCCUAUAUCUUAUGUGUGUAUUUGUUUGUGUAUUUAUAUAUGUAUAAGUUAGUGUAAUUGUAUUCAUGUGUGUUUUUUUUAAUCUUAAAAUUUAAUGCCAUCAAUCUUUUUCCUUACUCUAUACAAUUUGACCAAGUAAAUUCAGUUAUUGGAAUAGAUGAGUGGAAUGACCAACUUCUCCAUAAGUUCCGGUACCGUGUGGAUAGAUGGACAUUACAUGUGAUGAUAUGAUGUGGAAUGUUUAGACUGAACUAGAUAUGCUGCGUUGGUAGCGACAUCAGCUGUAUAAACAGUUUCAAAAUUUAAUUUAAUUUAUAUAAAAUAAAUUUGCAGUUGAAUAAUAAAAGUAACCUAAUUUGAGAUACAUUUCCAAUAAAAUAAUC
rnacentral:lncRNA from 1 species